rnacentral:misc_RNA from 1 species
AACGCACGAGACCUGCGGACCUGCGGAGGGAUCAUUACCGAGUGUUACAGCUCCCAAACCCACUGUGAACGUACCCAUCGUUGCUUCGGCGGGACCGCCCCGGCGCCUCCGCGCGCCGGGCACGGGCGCCCGCCGGGGGCCCGAAACUCUUGCCUCCUCGCGUGGAUUCUCUGAGUGGCACGAAAAGGGAAAAUGAAUCAAAACUUUUAGCAACGGAUCUCUAGAUCGGAAGAGCACACG